AGUCGCACCAUUUCCCAUCUCUCGAUUCCCCGCCCGAUUUUUCUCCUCACUCCUGCCAAUAAUGCCGCUCUCUCCCUCAUCGUCGCUCUUCAGCAAAUUGCUCCACAGCUUCUUCAUGUUCUCCUUUUCGCUCGUUCUUGUUGUUGUUGUUGUUGCUGUUUCUGCUGCUGUCAUCUCACAGCUCGUCGUUGCGCCGACCUGAAUUGCUGGACAAUGCGAUGUGAAUUCGCUUGUGGGUACCUUAAGGGAAUGAGAAUCUGGGAUUGCUCCAUUUGGGUCCUGAAGUGGUCCUGAUUUGUUCGUGGUUGGAGUUUUGCGGGAGGAGUGUGGAGUGGUGGCGAGGACGUGUCGUUUUAUUUAUUUGUUUGUUUAUUUGGGUAGGCUAUUUUAGUGUCGGUGGUGUCAGUGGGAAUUGGCGGCUGGUUUUGAUGCUAAUCCGGAGAGAUUUGAGGGGGAGGGGUAGCUCGGGGGUGAGAGACGGCGAGGUGGGGAGGUUAGGGUAAAGAGGUGGCUGAGGAUUGGGGUGAGUGCGUCUAGUGUAGCGUUCAAAAGCGAUUGUGUGUGUAUUUUUGUUCCGUUUUGCCACUUGUAGAGUCCCGGAUGGGCGGACUGUUUGCGAUCUUUUCGCAUUUGGAUAUUUAUGACGGGGACACUGGGUUCGAGCUCGAGGAUUGCCUCUGUUGAAAAGUUUCCACGGCUUUGGUUGUUUCUCUUUCCGGUGUGGAGAGUGAUUGCGCCGAGCAACAAUGGGAGGGGGCUGAAUCCCUGUUCUCUUCUUCCUCCUCCUCCUCCUCCUCGGGUGCAAGUAGGAUUCGAUUGUGAAUUGCAACACUGGACGAAGGCAGCAUCGAAGGCCAUGUGCAGGGCUCUUGAUCAGAGCAUCUGUCGAGCUUUAAUUCGCACUCUCACGGCGAUGGGUGCGAGUAGUUCUUGUGGGCAAGAUAAAAUAAUAAUUUUGCAGUCCCUCCACGAAUGUAAGCAGCCGUAGCCCAGUUGUAUGGAUGGAAUGACAAGGCAACAAUGGCUGCAAAAGCGAGUAAGCUGCAGCAAUUUAAAGCUUCAUUCAAUGCAUUUCAGUUCGAGAUAGCGAAUCAGAACCAGUCUUCUCCCAAAAUGGUGAAACAGGAGUCCUUUUCUGUGCGGCAAGUUGACACUGGGCUGGAGAGCCUCGUGAAGGCCCUGCAAGAAGAGGCCGUCGUGGUGAAGGCCGAACUUGCACAGUGGAAGAACAAGGCCAAUGCUUCAGCUCAGGAGACCGCGGCGCUGAAGGAAGACUCGGACAAGAGGAUCGCUUCACUGAAGGCAGAGGUGGAAGGAUGGCGAGAUCGCGCAGCCAUGUCCGCUGGGAAAGGAAUAGUGGCCAGGCGGCAGCUGGAGGAUUUUUCCAAGCAAGUGAAGUCGUUAAGCACAGAGCUGCAAGAGUGGAAAGAGGAAGCAUUAAAGGCUCAAAAGGGGAAUGAAGACUUGAGGAUAGAGGUAGAUGAGUGGAAGCUGGAAGCAGAUGCUUUGGCCAAAGAGGUAGUGAAUUUGAAAUCGGAGGUCAGUUCCUCCAUUGCAGUCUUGCAAGCAGAUGCAGAUAAGUGGAAGCACAUUUCCUCAAGUCGUAGUGAUUCUAUCAAAGUAUUGGAAGCGGAGUUGGAGAGGCGGAUGCACAAGGCUACGAAUCGCAGCGAUGAGGACGGGCUUCAUAUGGGAGAGAGUCAGGCCUUUGCACGAGACCUGCGCGUGGACGUGGAUGAACGGAGAGACAGGCUUUCUGAGCUUGAGGCUUCCUCCCAAGCUGAAAUAGAAGAUCUGAAGAAGCAAGUUGUUUCUGCUGAGAAGGAGCGUUCCGAGCUUGAAGCCUGCUUGCAAUCCCAGAUAGAGGAUUUGACGCAGAAGAUUAUUUGUGCUGAGAAGGAGCGUUCUGAGCUGGAGGUCUCCUUCAAAGCUGAGAUAGAAGAAUUGAAGAACAAGGUUGUUGUUGCUGAGAAGGAGCGUUCUGAGCUGGAGGUUUCCUUCAAGCUGGAGAUAGACGAAUUGAAAAAGAAGGUCAUUGCUGCUGAGAAGGAGCAAGAGCAGUUGAAGCAGCGCUUCGAGGCCAGGGUGAAGGAAUUACAAGUGGAAUUGGAGGAGUGGAUGAAUGCAGCGAGCGUGACCGAACAUGAAAAGCUCGAAAGACUUGAAAUGGAGAAGAAAUUGAAAGACUCUCAAUUGAAGGCCAGAAGAGCCCUGGAAGAUCUUGCCCAUGAACGGAAGAGGAGUGCGGUGCAGAUGGCGGAGCUUCAAGCACAGGUGAAAGAUUGGAAAGUUGUUGCUGCAGACUCUUCGGAGGAAUGCUCCUCUCUUCGUGUCGCAUUUGACAGUGUCGUCCAGGAGCUGCAUUUAGAGCUUGCUCAGUGGAAACAUAAGGCAGAAGCUUCUAGUGAAGAGGAGAAGUUGGUGACGGCGGAGCUUUCCCAGUGGAAACAGAAAGCGGAAACUUCCAAUGAUGAGAUGAAAUCGGUGAAGGCAGAGCUUGAGAAGGUGGUUGAUGAAUUGCAAAAUCAAGUGCUCGUCUGGAAAGAGAAUGCUGAAAAUGCCUCGGAAGAAAUAGCAAAAAACCAAGAGUAUGCAGACUUGGUCCAAGUUUUGGAGAGUGAGCUCAGUCUCUGGAAACAGAAAGCAGAAGAUUUUCGUGAGGAGGGCAAGGUGAUGAAAGCAGAGAUUGAGAAGACGGUAGAAGACUUGCAGAAUCAGGUGCUCGUGUGGAAGGAAAAGGCUGAAAGUGCUCUGGAUGGAGUAGCCAAAAACCAAGAGUAUGCUGAGUUGGUAAGAAAUUUGGAGUAUGAGGUCAGCCUCUGGAAGCAGAGGAACCAAGAAGGCCAGUCUUUGCUCGUAGAAUUGGAAGAGGAACAAAUGCAAUUGAUGGAUUCCCUGACGGAUACUCAAAGCGAGCUGCAGCGGUGGAAAGAUAGAGCUGCAGCUGCAGCAAGGGCUGUUCGGCCUAUGCAGGAUGAUUCAAGUGACAUCAGUGAAGAAAAUGAUGAAGAGGACGUCGAUUGCCUCAGCGUUUUGCAUUCAGAACUCCUCAAGUGGAAAGCCAGAGCUCAGGAAGGGGAGCUCCUGCAAUCACAGCUGACAAACGCGGUUGCAGAGACGCAAAAAGAAUUGAAUGAAUGGAAACAGAAAGCCGCAGCCGUGACACUGGCUACAGAAUCUUUGAAGGAGGAACUUGACUGCGUGAUUGAAGAAGGAAAGAUUGAAAGAGAAGAGAUGUACAAUUCUAUCAAUGAUCUGGAAGAGGCGUUAUUUAUAUGGCAAGAGAGGGCUCAAGAGUGUCAAUCGCUUCAAACACAGCUGAAAAAUUCUCAGACAGAGCUAAAUGAAUGCAAAGACCAGUUGAAGACUUCACAGACAGAGUUAAAAGAGUGGAAGGAAAAGGCUGUGGCUAUUACCCUGACCACGAAGUCGCUAAUGGAAGAACUGGACUUCAGGAUUGAAGAAGGGCUACAAGAAAAGCAGGAAUUUUGCAAAUCCAUUAGCUCUCUUAAAGAAUCAGUGCUUGGUUGGAAGGAUAAGGCGGCUGAGAGCGAAUCCAUGAUAAAAGAACUCAGAAGUGCUCUUUCGGAAACACAAACGGCGCUUCGAGAUUGGAAAGACAGAGCCACAAGUGUUGCCAUGGCAACUGAAGCACUGAAGGGACAGAUGGAUUCUACCCUCGAAGCCUACAGAUUUGAGAAAGACGAACUCUGCAAUACGAUCAAUGAGCUGGAAGCAGAGGUCUAUGAAUGGAAAGCCAGAGCUCAAGACGGCAUGCAAGUGCAACGGCAGUUGGAGAAGGCUCUGGCGGAGCUGGAGAAAAAGAAGCGGCCCCUACUUAGAGCACAUAGAUCUAGCUCUAUUUCCAGUUGAUAACCAAGGAGUGUUACCCAUGAAGACCAUGCAUUUUCAUUCGUUAUCUAGUAAAGUCACGUCCAUUGUAUACAUAUUUCAAGCCCAGGUACCAGAGAUGGGUAGUCACUCUGCCGACACUCACAAUUCAGUGGGGUUUACUGUUAAGGAAGAUCUGUCACGAAAUGCUACAGGCAAUGUCGAGGAUUCAACACAAUUUGACUGAUGUUCUUGAGCGUCGCCCCUGAAGUUUGAUGUGAGAAUUGUGUAAACAAUCUUAUAUGAAUGAUGGUGUGGUGGAAACCAAUGGGCGUUUGUGGGAAACAUUGAAUGAUUUGCAGCAAAUUGAAACAUAUGCUGGAAGCAGCCUUUUUAACUUUCUUUGAUCCUGCCCUAAGGUGUUUGCCCUGUGUUAUUAAUCCUUAGGCUUAUCCAGGGAGAUGGUAUGUUCACAUUAGAACAUUCUGCUCAGUAAAAUGGAGAGCUUGGUCAUUUCUGCUUAGAGCGGACGCCAGAGCGUUAGCAUGUGACCAUUGAGCAUACAAGUUGAGUCAUUUGGAACCUGACCGUUAGGAAUUCCUUCAGGGGGAAUAAAAAAAAGACUUGUGAGCUAUUUUCGGAA